CCCCGCGGACGUCACAGAAGGUUCGGUGGUGAAGAUCGUAGAUCCUCAGCUGCCUCGCGCUUCCUGGCUCGUGGGUCGCAUCUCCAAGGUCCACCCCAGUCCCGACGGGCACAUCAGGUCUGCUGACGUCAAGGUGAAAGACAGGACCUUCACCCGACCUGUGGCGAGGCUGGUGGUACUGCCUGCCUUCCCGGACGAAGACAAAGGACAAUCACUGUGACUUUAUUAGAGAAGUUGCCUUUUGUUGUGAGCAAAUGUACUUCAUACAUUUGGGGGCGGCUGUUCAAAAGGCCCCGUAGUUGUGAGUUUUAUUCUGUUCAGUUGUUCACCUGUAGUUUCUUAGAGUGGCCAGUAGAGGUCACCCCACCGCUUUGUAUGAGAGAGGACUCGGGCAGGGAGAUACGUGGGUGAGAUAUAUGAGCGUUUCCGCUCCCGAUUACCGGCGGAGAAGUGGUCAUUUCGUGAGAAGUGUGCGUUACUGAGCAACAGACCACACAUACACACACACGCUCAUAUUCACACUGAUGCACCCCCCACACUCCAACCUGCGCACCUAAACCUGUAUGUAACACCUGCUCCUCUGACAAGCCUGUUACCUCUGACCGUGUGAAGGCAAUACAAGCGUUUAAACCA